GAAGUUGGAGUUGCUAGUAAUCGCGGAUCAGCAUGUCGCGGUGAAUACGUUCCCGGGCCUUGUACACACCGCCCGUCACACCAUGGGAGUUGGGAGCGCCCGUAGCCGGUGAGGUAACCGAGAGGAGCCAGCCGUCGAAGGUGAGACCAAUGACUGGGGUGAAGUCGUAACAAGGUAAC
rnacentral:rRNA from 1 species